rnacentral:rRNA from 1 species
UGGGGAAUUGUUCGCAAUGGGCGCAAGCCUGACGACGCAACGCCGCGUGGAGGAUGAAGGUCUUCGGAUUGUAAACUCCUGUUGCCCGGGACGAAACGCUCCGACCUAACACGUCGGAGUCUGACGGUACCGGGUGAGGAAGCCCCGGCUAACUCUGUGCCAGCAGCCGCGGUAAUACAGAGGGGGCUAGCGUUGUUCGGAAUUACUGGGCGUAAAGGGCGCGUAGGUGGCCUGUUAAGUCGAACGUGAAAUCCCCGGGCUCAACCCGGGAACUGCGUCCGAGACUGGCAGGCUCGAAUCCGGGAGAGGGAUGUGGAAUUCCAGGUGUAGCGGUGAAAUGCGUAGAUAUCUGGAGGAACACCGGUGGCGAAGGCGGCAUCCUGGACCGGUAUUGACGCUGAGGCGCGAAAGCCAGGGGAGCAAACGGGAUUAGAUACCCCGGUAGUCCUGGCCCUAAACGAUGAAUGCUUGGUGUGGCGGGCAUCGAUCCCUGCCGUGCCGAAGCUAACGCAUUAAGCAUUCCGCCUGGGGAGUACGGUCGCAAGGCUGA